AGAAGGCUGUCUCUUCAGCACAUGAUUAGUUUCAUCACUGUCUUCGGGUGGCCAAAUCCCAGUGGUUGUCCCACGAGAGGCCUUGUUGGGAAAGUUGCCUCGGAAUUGGUUGAACAUUGGAAAAACACCGAGUGGACUGCAAUAUCAUGAAAACAUGAUAACCAUGGACCGUGCACCUUUGGGUGAAAUCAAACUGGCGCUUGUCACGAAUUGAAAGACUACUUCUGCAGAACAUUCGUUUUCAUCGUGGUCAUUUUAUCUUCAUCUGAUCGCAAUUUUACUUGACAAUCUAGCACUUGGACACUGCAUUUCAGACCCCCACAAACACUUAAACACUCCACACACUCGACUCAAUCCAAGAGAAAGACCAACACUUUUGAAUUGAGAUGAGUCUCACUAACUUAACAUCCUCACCAAGGACCAAACACGGAGCUGGGGUCGACUUUUUAUCUGGGAGUGAACUUGUAGACUUGAAAGAAAGAGAGCACCUUUUUUGACGCUUUAGACUUAUUCUGAACAGCCGAUAACAUGAGUGUAUGUAUGAGGAACGCCGGAAAUUGUCGGCUUGAGUCAAAUUCAAAAAUUAGACGUUUCGGCUUUGUCAUUGAUAAAGAGCGAUCUCGUUUGAAGUGAACACAUUGAUUUGACACUUUGAACGGCUGCGUUUGAGAUAAAAGCCGAGUGAAACAUCCUCACGAUCCAAAUGUGGAGACUUCCAGUGAGCUCGCCAUUGAAGCAUUCUAGGCACCAAUUUCAAUCCGUUUCAACCCUGAUAUCAAGUUGAUAACGAUGAAGUCAGGCAAGUCUGCUGUAUUUCUAAUCGAUCUGGAAAUACGAUGAUAUCCCAAGGCAAAUAACAAACUCUCACAGGAAAUUUGGCCAUUUUCAGAGAGACUCCGAAGCACUCGAAUUGAACAUUCGUUGGUGCACUUGAAGCAACAAGUUCAAUGGCUUCCAUUUGAACGAUUCUACAAGGCAGAAGUCGGAGCCGUCAUGCUUGAGCGGAAUAUUUUAAGCUUCAGACAUUGUUCAAGUACUCCGACAGUCUCGGGAGGAGUUGUCACCACUAACAAUGGGCACUUUUUCGAUACCACUUCACUUGGGUUUCUUUUCGUUUCAUUGACAAUCAUAUAUAGAUAUAUGUGCUGCAAAUAUUUUAUUUAUUUUUGGAGAUGCCCUUGCUCGGAAAGAACACUUUGUUGCACUUA